AUGCUAUGUGGGUUUAAAUGCUGUUUGUGUGAAUUACACAAUAAAAACAUGUAUCCAUCCACAAAAAGAGCUUUUUCUUCCUCUUGCACCCAACACUGUGUCACUCGCCCUGUCUCAGAGCAGCGCAGAGCCACAACCCAUGAUUAUAAUGGCCUCUCGAGGGCGCGAGAGUGCCAACACCACACAAUGCCCACCGCGAGCCCCCCUCCCGCCAGUGGUUCUAGCCUCGCAGGGACGGGGCGCCGGUCAAAACACACCAUCAGUGGUUCCGGUGGCCGUAGAGCUAACGCGUCCGCUGUGUCACUUCCUGGACGCGUGGAGAGCUAUCCCGGGCGUUUCACCGUGGAUACUGGGAAUAAUUCAGCACGGAUAUUCUCUUCAGUUCAAACGCAGACCUCCCCGCUUCAAUGGCGUGGUCCCGUCACUGACUAUCCCCAAAAACCUUCCCGUUCUGAGACAGGAAGUUCUCAGUCUGCUCGAGAAAGGAGCGAUAGAGCGCGUCCCUCCGAACGAGCAGGAAAGCGGCUUCUACAGCCGCUACUUUGUGGUGCCAAAGAAAGAUGGUGGACUCCGUCCGAUUCUGGACCUGAGACCCAUCAACCGAGCACUUCACAAGCGCGCGUUCAGAAUGACAACGCUGAAACAGAUCUUGGCACAGAUACGGCCCGGGGACUGGUUCGCCUCAGUGGAUCUAAAAGACGCAUACUUCCAUAUUCAAAUAGCGACGCGCCACAUGCGCUUCCUGAGGUUUGCUUUAGAAGGCACGGCUUAUCAGUAUUCAGUGCUCCCGUUCGGCCUCGCCCUCGCCCCCCGCACAUUUUCGAAGUGUGUGGACGCACCACGCCCUCAAUGGACAGAAAUUGGCUGAUUUUAGCCCACUCAAGGGAUGUGCUAAUCAGUCACGUGGAAACACUGCUUCGCCAUUUGGAUACGCUGGGACUGCGUGUGAAUAUGCAGAAGAGCGUGUUUUUACCGAGCCGGACUAUAACAUAUCUGGGAGUAUGUUUGGACUCGAUGGCGAUGCGAGCUCAUCUCUCUCAAGAGCGCAUAGAGGCAAUUUCAUUGACUCUGCGUCGUUUCAGACCGGGCAGGUCGGUUUCACUGAGGGAAUUUCAGAGGCUUUUGGGACUGAUGGCGGCGGCUUCUUCAGUGUGCCAUCUGGGUCUGCUGCAUAUGCGGCCGCUACAGUUUUGGCUGAAGACCCGAGUUCCGCCGAGGGCGUGGUAUUCAGGCCACAAGCGCAUUACGGUCACUCACAGUUGCGUCAGCACUCUGAGACCGUGGAGCAGCCCGGAUAUGUUCAGCCCAGGAGUUCCUUUGGGUAUAGUGACGCAGCGCACCGUGGUCUCGACGGUGGUCGGAGUAACAGAGAAGGUGGCACAUAAACCGUUUGGAGAUUGGAAGCUGUGUCCUUAG
rnacentral:lncRNA from 1 species